rnacentral:tRNA from 1 species
GGGGGGUUAGCUCAGCUGGGAGAGCAUCUGCCUUACAAGCAGAGGGUCACAGGUUCGAGCCCUGUACCCCCCACCA